rnacentral:misc_RNA from 1 species
GGUUCAGCUCAACCCCAAUGUACAAAGCUAUGCCCAACACGAGACCGUGUAUUAAUACAACAGAGUUACUAAAGUGUAAUCAAUACCAUUUAUACUAAAAAUUCAUGCGACUCCUUUGAACACAUUGGCUAAAUGUAAUGUUCAAUAAAACUUGAAAAGAACAGCUAGUUUACCGCCAAGUGCACAGUGUCUUUAUGUGAUUUUCCAGAAGGCUGACUAACAGAAACUACAACUCUGAUUACCUUUCAAAAAAAUGGCUUCGACAUUUGGAUUGAACUGAAGAAGCAUGAAAUUGAGGUACUGAGAUUUGCUAGCGCAAAUCAAGUUAUGGAUGACUUGCAAACUGGG